AUGUCCGGAGCUCCCUCGUGGAGCCACAGCGGCGACAGUGACAGUGACAGCGACAGCGACUCUGCAGAAGUGACGGCAGGAGUGGCUCAAACCGCUCAAAAAACCCGAAAAAGCUUCAAAAUCCUAAAGAAUUCAGCACAAAACCCCACAAAAUUCCAAAAAAAUCUUCAGAAAAUCCCAAAGAAUUCCCUGUCCGGAGUUCCCUCGUGGAGCCACAGCGGCGACAGCGACAGCGACAGCGACUCUGCAGAAGUGACGGCAGGAACGGUUCAAACCGCUCAAAAAACCCGAAAAAGCUUCAAAAUCCUACAGAAUUCCGCACAAAAUCCCACAAAAUUCCCUCCGAAAUGGCACAAAAUCCCACAAAAUUCCAUGUCCGGAGUUCCCUCGUGGAGCCUCAGCGGCGACAGUGACAGUGACAGCGACAGCGACAGCGACAGCCAGCCCGCAGUGACGGCAGGAACGGUUCAAACCGCUCAAAAAACCCGAAAAAGCAUCAAAAUCCUACAAAAUGCCCCAAAAUCCCCGCCCCGCCCCGCCCCCCGCCCCGCUUUUGUUGCUUUAUUUUGGGGUUUGGUCCCUUUUUUUUUACAGCUCCCCCCACUCCCAGUUCCCAUUCCCAGUUUCCAUUCCCAGUUCCCAUUCCCAGUUCCCCAAUCCCAUUCCCAGUUCCCAUUCCCAGUUCCCCCAAUCCCAUUCCCAGUUCCCAUUCCCAAUUUCCCCAGUUCCCAUUCCCAGUUUCCCCAAUCCCAUUCCCAGUUCCCCAAUCCCAUUCCCAGUUCCCCAAUCCCAUUCCCAGUUUCUAUUCCCAGUUUCCCAGUUCCCAAUCCCAUUCCCAGUUUCCCCAGUCCCCAUUCGCAGCCCCCCCACUGUCAUUGUCACUCGCUGUCACCCGCCCCGCCCCAAAAGCGGCUCUGCCCCUUUUUUGGGGUUUUUUGGGGCUUUUUGGGGUUUUUUUGGGGCCGGGAAUCGCGGUUGGGAACGAAGAGAAAAGAAAAAACGAACCCAAAACAAGGAAGGGAAAAAAAAAAGGGAAAAAAAGGAAAAAGGAAAAAAAGGAAAAAGGAAAAAAAGGAAAAAGGAAAUGGAAUAAAAUUGAGUUAA
rnacentral:lncRNA from 1 species